rfam:Mahella australiensis 50-1 BON, complete genome.
UAUGGAGCAGGCCUUAGAACGUUUCGCUGUAUGCUCUGCGAGCGUAGUGAACGGCAGGCGUAGGCCGGGCAUGGACGCCCGGCCAGCCAGCACUGAGCAUGGACGCGAAUUGCUGGCGUUAGCCUGCCGGAACGAAGCAAGCAGUUAAGCAUACACGAAACAUUCUUCAGACUGCGAAAGAC